AGGAUGAACGCUAGCGGCAGGCCUAAUACAUGCAAGCUGAACGGUAAAUAUUGUAGCAAUACGAUAUGAGAGUAGCGUAAGGGUGCGUAACACGUAUGCAAUCUGCCCUGUACAGGAGAUAGCUCGGCGAAAGCCGGAUUAAUGCUCCGUAAUAUUAUUGGAUGGCAUCAUUUGA
rnacentral:rRNA from 1 species